CGAGCGAUUAAACUUUCCUUCGGGAAAGAUAUAAAGCGGCGUACGGGUGAGUAACACGUAAGUAAUCUACCUUCGAGUGGGGAAUAACAGUCGGAAACGACUGCUAAUACCGCAUAAUGCAGCGGCACCUAAUGGUGACAGUUGUUAAAGCAUUUAUGCGCUUGAAGAGGAGCUUGCGGCAGAUUAGCUUGUUGGUAAGGUAAUGGCUUACAAAGGCAACGAUCUGUAUCCGGUCUAAGAGGACGGUCGGACACACUGACACUGAAUAACGGGUCAGACUCCUACGGGAGGCAGCAGUCGGGAAUUUUGGGCAAUGGGCGAAAGCCUGACCCAGCAACGCCGCGUGAAGGAUGAAGUCUUUCGGGAUGUAAACUUCGUAAGAAUAGGAAGAAUAAAUGACGGUACUAUUUGUAAGGUCCGGCUAACUACGUGCCAGCAGCCGCGGUAAUACGUAGGGACCAAGCGUUGUUCGGAUUUACUGGGCGUAAAGGGCGCGUAGGCGGCGUGUUAAGUCACUUGUGAAAUCUCUAAGCUUAACUUAGAACGGUCAAGUGAUACUGAUGUGCUAGAGUGCAGAAGGGGCAACCGGAAUUCUUGGUGUAGCGGUGAAAUGCGUAGAUAUCAAGAGGAACACCUGAGGUGAAGACGGGUUGCUGGGCUGACACUGACGCUGAGGCGCGAAAGCUAGGGUAGCAAACGGGAUUAGAUACCCCGGUAGUCCUAGCCCUAAACGAUGAAUACUUGGUGUCUGGAGUUCUUUUCUCCGGGUGCCGUCGCUAACGUUUUAAGUAUUCCGCCUGGGGAGUACGCACGCAAGUGUGAAACUCAAAGGAAUUGACGGGGACCCGCACAAGCGGUGGAGCAUGUGGUUUAAUUCGACGCAACG
rnacentral:rRNA from 1 species